rnacentral:sRNA from 1 species
UUUUAACCCUGAUUGCCGUGAAAAUCCCGUGGCCGUUGCCAAACGGCUGCGGAUUGUAACAGAAAGCAGGAACUACG